GACGAACGCUGGCGGCGUGCCUAAUACAUGCAAGUCGAACGCAGUGGGGACGGGUGAGUAACACGUGGGUAACCUCCCAUCAGAGGGGAUAACACUUGGAAACAGGUGCUAAACCGAUACUGAUGGAUGGACCCGCGGUUCAUUAUCUAGUUGGGGAGGUAACGGCGCACCAAGGCCACGAUGCAUAGCCGACCGUAGAGGGUGAUCGGAAACAAUGGGACGGAGACAGGGUCCAAACUACUACGGGAGGCAGCAGUAGGGAAUCGUCGGCAAUGGACGAAAGUCUGACCGAGCAAAGCCGCGUGAGUGAAGAAGGUUUUAGGAUCGUAAAACUCUGUUGUUAGAGAAGCGGUAUCUAACCAGAAAGCCACGGCUAACUACGUGCCAGCAGCCGCGGUAAUAC
rnacentral:rRNA from 1 species